GAUGAACGCUGGCGGCGUGCCUAAUACAUGCAAGUCGAGCGAACGGACGAGAAGCUUGCUUCUCUGAUGUUAGCGGCAGACGUGUGAAUAACACGGGUGUAACCUACCGAUAAUACUGGGAUAACUGCGGGAAACCGUAUCUAAUACCGGAGGAUGUUUUUAACCACAUUGUUCAGGAAUGAAAUACGGUCUUGCUUGCGCUUAUAGAUGAAUCCGCGCUGCAUUAGCUAGUUGGUAAGGUAACGGCUUACCAAGGCAACGAUGCAUAGCCGACCUGAGCGGGUGAUCGGCCACAUUGGAACUGAGACACGGUCCAGACUACUACGGGAGGCAGCAGUAUGGAAUCUUACGCAAUGGGCGAAAGCCUGACGGAGCAACGCCGAGUGAGUGAUGACGGUCUUCGGAUCGUAAAAAUCUGUUACUAGGGAAGAACACAUGUGUAAGUAACUGUGCACAUAUUGACGGUACCUAAUCAGAAAGCAACGGCUAACUACGUG
rnacentral:rRNA from 1 species